UAAAUAGCCCGUAUUGCUUUGGCAGUACGCUGGCUUCUUAGAGGGACUAUCGGCUCAAGCCGAUGGAAGUUUGAGGCAAUAACAGGUCUGUGAUGCCCUUAGAUGUUCUGGGCCGCACGGUACGUAUUU
rnacentral:rRNA from 1 species